UACAGAGGUCUCAAGCGUUGUUCGGAAUCACUGGGCAUAAAGCGCACGUAGGCGGUGUCGUAAGUCGGGUGUGAAAUCCCUCGGCCUAACCGAGGAACUGCGCCCGAUACUGCGAUGCUUGAGGACCAGAGGGGUGCAUGGAAUUUCCGGUGGAGCGGUGAAAUGCGUUGAUAUCGGAAGGAACUCCGGCGGCGAAAGCGAUGCACUGGCUGGUUUCUGACGCUGAGGUGCGAAAGCCAGGGGAGCAAACGGG
rnacentral:rRNA from 1 species